rnacentral:rRNA from 1 species
UGGGGAAUAUUGGGCAAUGGGCGCAAGCCUGACCCAGCAACGCCGCGUGAGGGAAGAAUGUCUUCGGAUUGUAAACCUCUGUCCUUGGGGACGAAAAAAAUGACGGUACCCGAGGAGGAAGCUCCGGCUAACUACGUGCCAGCAGCCGCGGUAAUACGUAGGGAGCGAGCGUUGUCCGGAAUUACUGGGCGUAAAGGGUGCGUAGGUGGCAAGGCAAGUCAGGUGGGAAAUCCCCGGGCUUAACUCGGGGGGUGCAUUUGAAACUGCUUUGCUUGAGUGCAGGAGAGGAAAGCGGAAUUCCUAGUGUAGCGGUGAAAUGCGUAGAUAUUAGGAGGAACACCAGUGGCGAAGGCGGCUUUCUGGACUGUAACUGACACUGAGGCACGAAAGCGUGGGGAGCAAACA